CAAAGCGUAGCUUAAAUUCUAAAGCACCUAGCUUACACCUAGGAGAUUUCACAUAAAAGUGACCACUUUGA
rnacentral:tRNA from 1 species